rnacentral:rRNA from 1 species
AUUGAACGCUGGCGGCAGGCUUAACACAUGCAAGUCGAGCGGGGGAAGGUAGCUUGCUACCGGACCUAGCGGCGGACGGGUGAGUAAUGCUUAGGAAUCUGCCUAUUAGUGGGGGACAACAUCUCGAAAGGGAUGCUAAUACCGCAUACGUCCUACGGGAGAAAGCAGGGGAUCUUCGGACCUUGCGCUAAUAGAUGAGCCUAAGUCAGAUUAGCUAGUUGGUGGGGUAAAGGCCUACCAAGGCGACGAUCUGUAGCGGGUCUGAGAGGAUGAUCCGCCACACUGGGACUGAGACACGGCCCAGACUCCUACGGGAGGCAGCAGUGGGGAAUAUUGGACAAUGGGGGGAACCCUGAUCCAGCCAUGCCGCGUGUGUGAAGAAGGCCUUAUGGUUGUAAAGCACUUUAAGCGAGGAGGAGGCUACUUUAGUUAAUACCUAGAGAUAGUGGACGUUACUCGCAGAAUAAGCACCGGCUAACUCUGUGCCAGCCGCCGUAAUAC